rnacentral:rRNA from 1 species
CCUACGGGUGGCAGCAGUAAGGAAUAUUCGUCAAUGGACGGAAGUCUGAACCAGCCAUGCCGCGUGCAGGAAGACGGCUCUAUGAGUUGUAAACUGCUUUUGUACAAGGGUAAACCUGAAUACGUGUAUUCUGCUGAAAGUACUGUACGAAUAAGGAUCGGCUAACUCCGUGCCAGCAGCCGCGGUAAUACGGAGGAUCCAAGCGUUAUCCGGAUUUAUUGGGUUUAAAGGGUACGUAGGCGGAGUGAUAAGUUAGAGGUGAAAUGUCUGAGCUUAACUCGGGAACUGCCUCUAAUACUGUUGAUCUAGAGAGUAGAUGCGGUAGGCGGAAUGUAUGGUGUAGCGGUGAAAUGCUUAGAGAUCAUACAGAACACCGAUUGCGAAGGCAGCUUACCAAUCUAUAUCUGACGUUGAUGCUCGAAAGUGUGGGUAUCAAACAGGAUUAGAUACCCUGGUAGUC